GUCCUUGCUGCCUGAGAUGAAAAAAGGUGGUGGUGGCAAUGACCAUCUUCACAUCAUGAGGACGGAAGUCACCCAAGAUGGUGCUAAAGGUGGAGAAGGAGCAAGAAAAAAGGAUGGUCGCUGCAGACAUCUCUAAGAUACUGUAUUAGCUUUGGACUGCCUACAUUCAAACUUCUUAUGGUCAAAAAAUAAACAUUUUUAAGCCACUAAUCUUCAUUUUUUUGUUACAAGCUCCUGAACCUAUUCCUAUUAAUACACUAGUACAUGGAUUUUGUUAUUUUCUUUAUGUGGAAAUAUCUCAUAAAUUAUUUAAGAAUUUUAAAAUGAUAGCAGAAAAUACAGGAAAAUAGAAACAGUUUUACCACAUGAGUGUAGCUUCUCUGGUCCAUUUAGGUUGGCUGAAGGGAACAAAUGGCUGUACAAUGUCAUUCCUUCUAUUUAGAAAACGUCUCUUAUGCAGAAUCUCUUUCCAUUUCCAAGUUUAUAAAAGAAAUCACAGCAAAGUAGUGUUCAGUUCUACUAUAUCAAAUAACUUCUUCUAUGGUUCUAAACACAGUGGAGAGAAAGACUGUCCUCUUGUCUGCUUAAUACUACAAUUCCAGCUUGUUGAAUAAGUGGGUUUGACCAAUGUCACCGACAUCACUUAACUGUAACAUGUUCAGUGGCCUGUGACCCUCAGUCAUAUUGUAUCAUAAGGGGAAUUACAUUUGGGUAGUUUGUUAGCAAACAACAGAAAAUAACUCUGUAGUCUUGGCAGAAAGAGACUUUCUGAGAAGGAAGUUUCCAUGGCUCGAGCUGACCAAGGAAAUCAAGUGAGGAAGAGGCAGAAAUAGAUAUAUUCAAAGAUGUCAGUGGCAGGACAGCUCAGAGACCUUGGCAGAUCAUCAACUGACUAAAUGACUCCAAUUAUUUAUCUCUUCUUUGUGACAAAUUCAAAGGGGUGUGUGUGAGUGAGUGCAUGUGUGUGUGUGUGUGUGCAUGUGUAUGAGAGAAAGAGACAGAAAGAGAGAGAGAAGGUGAGACAGAGACAUAAAGGGAAAGAGGCUUAAUAACUAAGCAUAAGCCUAAGGCCUUCUUACUGCUACCAAGAUUUGGACUUGAAGACUCUGACAGACAGAGCCCUUAGAUUCCGAAAGGAUGUGCAUCCACUGAUGUGCCAUUGCCCUGCACAUAGUAAAGAACGCUGCUGCUCUGAAAGAAAUUUGAGCCACUAUAAGGAGGGGUGUGGGUGCCAGGAGGCUAAAGCAAUGAUGAAUACCUGCUGCUGACGUACAAGCGCAGAAGGAAGGGACGUGGUCCUAGAGACUCUCUUAACCACUAUUUCCCUACAGCAUUGAACUACACAAACUGCUAGUGGAGAAUCCCAUUUUUGCAGAUACUGUUGAAAGUAUAUUUCUAAGUGUUUUUGUCAAGUGAAUAUAUGAGUAUUAUUAUCAGCUGAAAAGGAUACUGCCCAAAGCAUGGGCUUGCUAGACAUUAAAAACAAAAAAAGAGCAACUUUGAAACUUAUUUUCAAGAAGGCUUUUAAACUAUUGCCAUGUAAGUAGCCCAUCGCCUCUGUGAAUAGAGUGGUUAAUAUUCCAAAAACUCAAAUACUAUUUCAAAAUAGAAUGUCGUUACCUCAUGGCAUCAUUUAUUCAAAUGAUCAAAUAAGUACGUAGACAAUGACCCCUUUCAUACAAUAAGCUAGACUUACUUUUGAAAAAAGCUUUGAAAAUCUUUGGAAGUUACUUUCUGAAAGUGUUAAAUAUUCUUUUUUCAUCAUUUUGAACUUCAUUAACUAAAUGACAAUUUUGUUUUCCUUAGAACUUAUCUUGACAUUUCUAUUUUCUUUUCAUCUCUUUUUUUACUGUGCAGUUAAAACCACCAAUGAACAAAGCAGAGCAUAUUUAAAUCUUAAGUUUAAAAAACCUGUUCUGCUUUGCAGUUCAGAAUAAUGCAUGAACACACACACACUUAUCUCCUCUUUUUCCAGAGCCUACGUGAACAUGAAACUAAAGGAAUAAAAAGGGACAAAAUCAACAACACUGUAGAAUAUUAGAAGGGCCAAUGGGUGGAGGUGAAAUGUUAGCACACAUAUACAGGAUGACAGUGGAUAGACUUCCACUCUGGGAGCAUAGUGGGCUGAAUAUUCUGAAGGGUCCAGCUGCUAAAAACUAAGUCUCAUAUAAGUUGCAACAAACAUGAUUUCAAAUGCAAUGCUCAGAUCACAAGAAAGUGAAGGAAGUCUCUAAAAACCAAAAGUCCAAGAGGAAAAAAAAAAAAGGAAUAGAGGGAAAAGAGAGAAAAGGAGACAGAGAGGAGCAAAGGAAAAUGAUAAGUGAGCCAGACCCAUGGGAGGGAGCAGCGACCAGUAUAACAUAACUUCAUGUUUCAUGCCCUAUAUAUGCCUGCAUUAUUUUCACCAAGCUAUGGAACUUUGCAUAAUAAAAUGAACAGGACACACAGGAAAUCUAGGAUUGGGGAAACACUCCAAAGCUGUACAUAAAAAAUUCACUGAAAUUUAAUAAUAAAAGUAAAUAAAUGCAUACAUAAUGCUAUUGCCACUUUGUUUUCUAAUAAAUAAAUAUUAUCAUAGUCAUAGACAAAACAUAUCUGUUUGUUUGCUGUGGUGAACUGUAGCUUCCAAGACAUGGAGAAGAGGUGGAAGGAAGAAUAAGGUUCUUAGGCUGAAAUGUUGCCACAGCAGAGAUGGAGGGUUCCGGUUCAUUGUCUGUUUUCCUUUCUUUUGCUCUGGCUUAAAAUAGAAACCCUACCUUUGUUGUUUCCCAGUUUUCUUCUUUCACAAAGAAGCUGCACACACAGCUCAAUGCGGCCAGACACAGAGUGCCAUCCUGCUGCUCUGAGCACUGUACUGUCUGCUCCAAUCCUCACAAACGCUUCCCAGUCCCAAUUAGCACAGAUGAUAACUGGGAUGUGUCUAUCUCUCCUCUCCUUUAUUUUUGUCACAGUGCUGUCUCUGAUAGAAUGCAAUGUGGACUCCUUAUUUCUUGGAUAUCACAUGUUCAUAUGUUUCUUUUAAAAUCAUAAUUCCAAACUUCCUCUCAAUACUUUAAGUCUGUUUUGUUGUUGUUGUUCACGACUUGGAUUCAUAUAACCAGAAUGUUUACUUGUGCUUGAAAUGCCAUCUUAAAUAUUUAUAUUAAAAAGAAUACACAAGCUUUGGAGAACAGUGCAAUACAUACUUGCAGGUUAUAUUAGUAAAUCGAGGAAAGAGAGAGAAAUUGAAGGGUAUGUACAUGCAUGUGUGUGUGUGUCUGUGUGUGCGUGCUGAGUAGCCUUGCAUGAGAUGCUAUGUUUGGCAGUGUGGCCUUUUUUUUUUUUUUUAAUCUGAUGUUUGGCUACAGCAUAAGCAUAGUCAAAAUCUGAAAAACUGUGGAAAGGCUAACACAAUUUCUAGCUUUGGUGAUUUUAUUCCUUGCUUAUUUAUCUUGAAUAUAUAAAUGUACCCAUUACAAAACAAAAACAAAAACAAAAGAGAUGGUAAUGAGGCAAAAGGCAAGAUUGACCCAGAGGCAAAUGUUGAUAACACCUCUGCAAUCUGAAGACUAACUCUUGGGCCCAAGGCAAAGUGUGUGAGCUUAAUCUGAAAUUCAUCCAUUAAUAUAAGACUUUUAAAGGGGGCUGAAGUAUUCUUGGUAGCACCACUAAUUCUUGGGUGCUACCAGGACCAGAAACAAAUGCCCAGACUCUCUGGAUGAAAGUAACCAAAUUUAGGCUCUCAGGAUUCCCACAGGCUAAUCGUCUUCAUGAACACAAAAGCACAAAUUUUAAACAAAUUAUUAACAAAGCAAAUCCAGUGCUAUAUAAAGGAAUUAUACAGCACAAUCCAAUAGGGUUUUUCUAACAAUUCAAGGGUAACUUAAUAUUUGUGAAUCAGUUCAUGUAUUUCACUACAUUAACAACAAAAAAGGUAGGAGAUAGAACAUACAGUCAUCUCAAUAGGUAGAGUUAAACCUUCUGAUAAUUUACUCUUAGCAGAUUAGGAAUAGAAGUAAAUUUCCUUAAUCUGAUAGAGUGUCCAUACAAAAAUCUACUGCAAAUACCUUUAUGAUGAAAUAUUGUAGACAUCCCCUAGAGAUGAGAAAUGAAACAAGGAUGUCUUUUUUUUUUUUUUUAACAAGAUGCCUUCUAUAUUCACUUUCAUUCAUCAUUGUACUGGUUGUAGCCAAUGCAAUAAGGCAAGAAAAGAGAUCACAAAGAUUGGGAAGAAAGAAAUAAUACUGAUUUAUUCACAAAUGAUAUGGUUAUGUAGAUAAAAACGUAAAAACAUAAAAACAUCAAAAGGUAACUGGCCAAAUGCAGGGCCAGAUGUGGGGCUUGAACUCACAAACCAUGAAAUCAUGACUUCAGCCAAAGUCAGACACUCAACCAACUGAGCCACCCAGGCACCAGCAUACUGAAUACCAUGUACUGACCAUGUACUGAAUACAUGUUUUCAGUAUUUUAAAACAGCAAUCAUUUGUUAUGUCUCAUGAUUCUGUGGAGUUCCUCCAUUGAUUUUUCUUGGGCUCACCCUAGGCUAUAUUCUCCUCAAAAAACAGCUGGGCUGGCCAGUACAAGGUGGCCCUACCUGAACAUCUGGCUCUUAAUGCCAGCUGUCUACUGGGGUUCAUCAUUUCUCAUCUACAUGACGUCUCACUCUUCUGUAGGCUAGAUCAAUGUCCUUAAAUGACAGUCUCAGGACAGCAUUCCAAAAGGCCAAAAGAAUAAGGUUAAAGGUCCAUUGAGGCCUAGCCUUAGAUUUUGCAAAAUGUCACUUCUGCCUUAUGCUACUGGACACAGGAAGUCCCAGGGCCAACCCAGAAUCAAGGCGGGGGGUGGGGGUGGGGGUGGAAAUAGACCUUGCCUUUGAUGGAAGGGGCUGCAAAGUCACCUUGCAAAGGGGUGAACAUAACAGGAUAGGAGGAAUUUGUGACUAUUAUUCACAAUGCUACUCUCUGCCCUCUGCCCACCGUUAUUUACGUGUCCAUCAUGUGCAGAAGAAAUGAAAACAAAACACUAAAAUUGAUUGCCUCUGAGAAGGAGAAUAGUGGGUAAGGAAGAGUGGGACAAAGGUUUUUUCAUUCUAGGCCCUUCCAUACUCUUCUUUUUAAACACAUGCACGCUCUAUAAAAACAAAGGUUUCUGAUGUUCUAUAAGGUGCAUAUAAAUCCCUUGCUUUAAAAAGAAAAACUGGAAGGAUAGUUUCUCCUAUCCUCAUCAAAUAAAUGAUGAACAAUAUUUACUGAAUAGGUAUUCUAAGAACUGCAAGAUUCUUAAACUACUCAGAUUCAACCUUGUUCAGUUUUAUUCUGCCUCCUAAGAAUUCAAUUAAAAAAUGUGAUUGUGUGUAUGAAAAAUGCUUCCUAAGUUAUAAAUGUUUUAUAACUCACUAUACAUUAUCCACUGCAACUGUUCCUACGUUGUGCCCAGCACUGUAUUAAGCUGUGCAGAGGCCACAAAAGGACCAGAAAAUAAGUUUUCUGCCAGCAAGAAAUUAACAGUCUAGGUGAAGAGACCAGAUGAUACCCACAAACCAAUUAUAGUACAUUAUGCUAGACUGUAUGGGUCUGUGCAGACAGUACUCUUUGCUCAUUGCAGCCUCAUCAGGACCCCACAUACAAUAAGACCUUGAUAAAUAUGCAUUGAUGGAGGGAUGGAUCAAUUACCUGGCAGCCUAUAACUCAGAGCCUGGUCACAGUACCAAUUGUGAGUGCUGGAGACAUCUGAGAAGCAGCGAUCAGAGGAGUUGGUUGUACUCAGCCAGGCACCCAGGCUGGGCUUUAUUUCCAACCAGGAUAUGACAAAAAGAAAAGACUCAGAGAUGGGAAGGAGGUCAAACCAGGGAAGUGGUAAGAGGGCUAUAAGAUCUCCCAGAGCACCCACCUUCUGCCCUUGCAGCAGGCAUCUGGCCAGACAGGAAGCAGGGCUGGGGAGGAGUGGACAGGAUGGGCUGGCAAGGGACAGGAAGCACUUGGAGCACCAGGGAGGAAGGGAGGGGACAAAUCCCACCACCUAGCAGACCACAGGAAAGCCCCAAUCAUGGGCACUUCUGGCCUUCCCCACAGAAGAAUCCUGCCUUUUCCUCCAUACUGAAAUUGGCAGCAGAAACAAAGGUGAAUUGGACAUUCUCCCACUCACCAGGAUAUUAGUGCCUCUUACAGGGGGACAAACACCAGUGAUAUAAAUAAUCAAGGGCCUUGAAGCAUCCCGAAUGACAGCAAGCCAGGACUCUGAGAUGGAAGUAGGCACACCGGAGUUCCUAUCCUGAUUCCAGGCCCAAGAUCCUAAGCCCUGCAAGAUAAACAUUCUGUCCAUCCAAUGAGGAAGUGGAUGUAAAGGAGUUCAAGAAGAAGAAGAAGAAGAAGAAGAAGAAGAAAAAGAAAGAAAGAAAGAAAGAAAGAAAGAAAGAAAGAAAGAAAGAAAGAAAGAAAGAAAAGAAAGAAAAGAAAAAAGAAAACAGAAACAGAAUUGUCCAAGGAAACACAACUGAUUAAUGACAGGAUUUGAGCCCAGGUCCUGAAAUCUAGCAGGAUUUAAAACUAAGUCUGACUAUCUCUAAGACCUGGGGAUUUUGUUUGUUUGUUCUUUUUAAAACUAAACCACCAUUUGAAUGAAUAAUUGUGAAUAAAUGAUGGUGAAUAAGUCAA